rnacentral:rRNA from 1 species
AGUGCAUGUGGUGGAUGCCUUGGCAGUCAGAGGCGAUGAAAGACGUGAUAGCCUGCGAAAAGCUCCGGGGAGGCGGCAAAUAUCCUUUGAUCCGGAGAUGUCUGAAUGGGGGAACCCACCUACUUUAAGGUAGGUAUUGCAACAUGAAUACAUAGUGUUGCAAGGCGAACGAGGGGAAGUGAAACAUCUCAGUACCCUUAGGAAAAGAAAUCAAUUGAGAUUCCCUCAGUAGCGGCGAGCGAACGGGGAUCAGCCCAUUAAGUUAUGUGUGUUUUAGUGGAACGCUCUGGGAAGUGCGAACGUAGAGGGUGAUAUUCCCGUACACGAAAGGGCACACAUAAUGAUGACGAGUAGGGCGAGGCACGUGAAACCUUGUCUGAAUAUGGGGGGACCAUCCUCCAAGGCUAAAUACUCCUGACUGACCGAUAGUGAACCAGUACCGUGAGGGAAAGGCGAAAAGAACCCCUGUGAGGGGAGUGAAAUAGAUCCUGAAACCGCAUGCAUACAAGCAGUGGGAGCACCUUCGUGGUGUGACUGCGUACCUUUUGUAUAAUGGGUCAGCGACUUAUAUUCAGUAGCAAGGUUAACCGUAUAGGGGAGCCGUAGAGAAAUCGAGUCUUAAUAGGGCGUUUAGUUGCUGGGUAUAGACCCGAAACCAGGCGAUCUAUCCAUGAGCAGGUUGAAGGUUGGGUAACACUAACUGGAGGACCGAACCCACUGUCGUUGAAAAGCCAGGGGAUGACUUGUGGAUAGGGGUGAAAGGCUAAUCAAGCCUGGUGAUAGCUGGUUCUCCCCGAAAGCUAUUUAGGUAGCGCCUCGGACGAAUACCAUAGGGGGUAGAGCACUGUUUCGGCUAGGGGGUCAUCCCGACUUACCAAACCGAUGCAAACUCCGAAUACCUAUGAGUACUAUCCGGGAGACAGACUGCGGGUGCUAACGUCCGUAGUCAAGAGGAAAACAAUCCAGACCGCCAGCUAAGGCCCCAAAAUCAUAGUUAAGUGGGAAACGAUGUGGGAAGGCAUAGACAGCUAGGAGGUUGGCUUAGAAGCAGCCACCCUUUAAAGAAAGCGUAAUAGCUCACUAGUCGAGUCGGCCUGCGCGGAAGAUGUAACGGGGCUAAAACUAUGUGCCGAAGCUGCGGAUUUGACAUUAGUCAAGUGGUAGGGGAGCGUUCUGUAAGCCGAUGAAGGUGUAUUGAGAAGUAUGCUGGAGGUAUCAGAAGUGCGAAUGCUGACGUGAGUAACGACAAAACGGGUGAAAAACCCGUUCGCCGAAAGACCAAGGGUUCCAGUCCAACGUUAAUCGGGGCUGGGUGAGUCGACCCCUAAGGCGAGGCCGAAAGGCGUAGUCGAUGGGAAAAUGGUUAAUAUUCCAUUACUUCUGUGUAAUGCGAUGAGAGGACGGAGAAGGCUAAAUCAGCCUGGCGUUGGUUGUCCAGGUGAAAGGAUGUAGGCAUGUAUCUUAGGCAAAUCCGGGGUACUCUAUGCUGAGAUCUGAUAGCAAGCUGUACUUGUACAGCGAAGUGGUUGAUGCCAUGCUUCCAGGAAAAGUCUCUAAGCUUCAGUUACACAGGAAUCGUACCCGAAACCGACACAGGUGGUCAGGUCGAGUAGACCAAGGCGCUUGAGAGAACUCUGCUGAAGGAACUAGGCAAAAUGGUACCGUAACUUCGGGAGAAGGUACGCUGUUGUUGGUGAUGGAACUCGCUUCCUGAGCUGACGACAGCCGCAGAAACCAGGCCGCUGCAACUGUUUAUUAAAAACAUAGCACUCUGCAAACACGAAAGUGGACGUAUAGGGUGUGAUGCCUGCCCGGUGCUGGAAGGUUAAUUGAUGGGGUUAGCGUAAGCGAAGCUCUUGAUCGAAGCCCCAGUAAACGGCGGCCGUAACUAUAACGGUCCUAAGGUAGCGAAAUUCCUUGUCGGGUAAGUUCCGACCUGCACGAAUGGCAUAAUGAUGGCUGUAGCGUUAUUCAUUUUUGGUACGGCAGCAGGUAGUCUUGGCGUUGCUAUUAAUUUACAAGCAGUUGU